AUCUAAAUAGUUUAUUAAAAAUAUUGAUUUGUGGUGUCAAUGAAAUGGUGCUAUCAUUUUAGAUC
rnacentral:tRNA from 1 species